UACGUAGGGGGCAAGCGUUGUCCGGAUUUAUUGGGCGUAAAGAGCGUGUAGGCGCCAGACAGGUCCGUUGUGAAACUAGAGGCUUAACCUCUAGACGUCGAUGGAAACCGUCUGGCUAGAGUCCGGAAGAGGAGAAUGGAAUUCCUGGUGUAGCGGUGAAAUGCGCAGAUAUCAGGAAGAACACCCGUGGCUAAGGCGGUUCUCUAGUACGGUACUGACGCUGAGACGCGAAAGCGUGGGGAGCGAACAGG
rnacentral:rRNA from 1 species